rnacentral:lncRNA from 1 species
AACCUCUUUACCCCUGAAGAAUUCCAAGCUCAAAACCCUUUCCCCCUGAAGAAUUCCAAGCUCAAAACCCUUUACCCCUGAAGAAUUCCAAACUCAAAACACUUUACCCCUGAAGAAUUCCAAGCUCAAAACACUUUACCCCUAAAGAAUUCCAAGCUCAAAACCCUUUACCCCUGAAGAAUUCCAGGGAUCCUCGACAGGGGGGGUACGGAUAUUAAAUGGAAUAGCCCAUUGCUCAUAU